GAUGAACGCUGGCGGCGUGCUUAACACAUGCAAGUCGAACGAGAAGUGAAGACGGAAACCUUCGGGCGGAAGGCUUUAUUUCGAGUGGCGGACGGGUGAGUAACGCGUGGGUAACCUGCCUCAUACAGGGGGAUAACAGUUGGAAACGACUGUUAAUACCGCAUAAGACCACAGCACCGCAUGGUGCGGGGGUAAAAACUCCGGUGGUAUGAGAUGGACCCGCGUUCGAUUAGCCAGUUGGCGGGGUAACGGCCCACCAAAGCGACGAUCGAUAGCCGAUCUGAGAGGAUGACCGGCCACAUUGGGACUGACACACGGCCCAAACUCCUACGGGAGGCAGCAGUGGGGAAUAUUGCACAAUGGGGGAAACCCUGAUGCAGCGACGCGGCGUGAGUGAAGAAGUAUUUCGGUAUGUAAAGCUCUAUCAGCAGGGAAGAAAAUGACGGUACCUGAGUAAGAAGCCCCGGCUAACUACGUG
rnacentral:rRNA from 1 species